rnacentral:rRNA from 1 species
CCUACGGGAGGCAGCAGUGGGGAAUAUUGCACAAUGGGCGCAAGCCUGAUGCAGCGACGCCGCGUGGGGGAUGACGGCCUUCGGGUUGUAAACCUCUUUCAGCAUCGACGAAGCGCAAGUGACGGUAGAUGCAGAAGAAGCACCGGCCAACUACGUGCCAGCAGCCGCGGUAAU